AGAGUUUGAUCAUGGCUCAGAUUGAACGCUGGCGGCAGGCCUAACACAUGCAAGUCGAACGGUAGCACAGAGGAGCUUGCUACUUUUGCCGGCGAGCGGCGGACGGGUGAGUAAUGCCUGGGAAAUUGCCCAGUCGAGGGGGAUAACAGUUGGAAACGACUGCUAAUACCGCAUACGCCCUACGGGGGAAAGCAGGGGACCUUCGGGCCUUGCGCGAUUGGAUAUGCCCAGGUGGGAUUAGCUAGUUGGUGAGGUGAUGGCUCACCAAGGCGAUGAUCAAUAGCUGGUUUGAGAGGAUGAUCAGCCACACUGGGACUGAGACACGGCCCAGACUCCUACGGGAGGCAGCAGUGGGGAAUAUUGGACAAUGGGGGCAACCCUGAUCCAGCAAUGCCGCGUGUAUGAAGAAGGCCUUCGGGUUGUAAAGUACUUUCAGCGAGGAGGAAGGCGUUGUGGUUAAUAACCGCAGCGAUUGACGUUACUCGCAGAAGAAGCACCGGCUAACUCCGUGCCAGCCGCCGCGGUAAUAC
rnacentral:rRNA from 1 species